CCAUUAAUGAGAAAGGAAAAGAAGAAACAAAAGCAGAGAGGGAUUAACUGAUGGAGCAAGACUUUGGAGAUGAAGCAAGAAGGACAAGGUGGCCGGAUUGGUCUUAACCAAGAGGAUUCUUCCAAGAAGAAACAGAUGGAUCAAUCUAUCUAUCUAGGCUUCCCUGGUGGCUCAGUUAUUAAAGAAUCUGCCUGCAGUGCAGGAUUCCGCCUGCAAUGGAGGAGACCCAGGUUCGAUCCUGGGUCAGGAAGAUCCCCUGGGCUCCUGUGAUAAUAGAAGCUGAAAAGUCCCAAGAUCUGGAGGGUGAGUUGGCAAGCUGGAGACCCA